UACGGGGGGAGCAAGCGUUGUUCGGAUUUACUGGGCGUAAAGGGCGCGUAGGCGGUCAGCACAAGUCAGUUGUGAAAUCUCCGGGCUUAACUCGGAAAGGUCAACUGAUACUGUGCGACUAGAGUGCAGAAGGGGCAACUGGAAUUCUCGGUGUAGCGGUGGAAUGCGUAGAGAUCCGGAAGAACACCGGAGGCGAAGGCGGCUUGCUGGGCGUGAUCUGACGCUGAGGCGCGAAAGCGUGGGGAGCGAACAGG
rnacentral:rRNA from 1 species